GACGAACGCUGGCGGCGUGCUUAACACAUGCAAGUCGAACGAAGAGCGAUGGAAGCUUGCUUCUAUCACUCUUAGUGGCGAACGGGUGAGUAACGCGUAAUCAACCUGCCCUUCAGAGGGGGACAACAGUUGGAAACGACUGCUAAUACCGCAUACGAUCCAAUCUCGGCAUCGGGACUGGAUGAAAGGUGGCCUCUAUUUAUAAGCUAUCACUGAAGGAGGGGAUUGCGUCUGAUUAGCUAGUUGGAGGGGUAACGGCCCACCAAGGCGAUGAUCAGUAGCCGGUCUGAGAGGAUGAACGGCCACAGUGGGACUGAGACACGGCCCAGACUCCUACGGGAGGCAGCAGUGGGGAAUCUUCCGCAAUGGACGAAAGUCUGACGGAGCAACGCCGCGUGAGUGAUGACGGCCUUCGGGUUGUAAAGCUCUGUUAAUCGGGACGAAUGGUUCUUGUGCGAAUAGUGCGAGGAUUUGACGGUACCGGAAGAGAAAGCCACGGCUAACUACGUG
rnacentral:rRNA from 1 species